rnacentral:rRNA from 1 species
AUUGAACGCUGGCGGCAGGCCUAACACAUGCAAGUCGAGCGGAGCGGCGGACGGGUGAGUAAUGCCUAGGAAUCUGCCUGGUAGUGGUGGAUAACGUCCGGAAACGGGCGCUAAUACCGCAUACUCUCAUUUUACCCUAGGUCGGAUUGGCUAGUUGGUGGGGUAAAGGCUUACCAAGGCGACGAUCCGUAACUGGUCUGAGUGGAUGAUCAGUCACACGGGAACUGAGACACGGUCCAGACUCCUACGGGAGGCAGCAGUGGGGAAUAUUGGACAAUGGGCGAAAGCCUGAUCCAGCAAUGCGGCGUGUGGGAAGAAGGUCUUCGGAUGGUAAAGCACUUUAAGUUGGGAGGCGUUACCAAAAGAAGAAGCACCGGCUAACUUCGUGCCAGCAGCCGCGGUAAUUC